rnacentral:lncRNA from 1 species
AUGGGGUUUUUAAUGGUUGUCAAGAAUAACGCCUGCUUCAAGAGAUACCAAGUUGAGAUUUAGAAGAAGGCAGAGGGUAAAUUAAUUGUGAUGCUCGGAAAUGCUUAGUAAGCCGGGACAAAAAUAACACAACAUGCCCAAACUCAGGGUGACAGUUUGCGUAACCAACAGAGAACUCAUUUGUCUGACUGUUAUGCCUAUAGAAAAGGGGAUAUAAUCGUCUGAACAGCCGACGCUUAUGAACUCCCAAAGUAUAGUGUGGAGGUAUUUUGUAUUUAGAUGCAGCUAUCGUCAGAACUACCACUUAAAAUAAACUUUUUGGGACUCUGAUGGGAGCUAUGGAUGGAAGCUUGUCUAUCCCUCAAGGUACUGAAUGAUUUCCUGGUUAUAAUUCAGAAAGUAGGGAACUCAAUGCCAGAAACUUCAGAAGCACGUCAUAGAUCACAACAGAUCCAUUGGAGAUUAUAUGCAUAACCUAAUGGAAGAUGAAGAUGCUUGUAGGAAACAUUUUUCUCAAUGCAUAAAGAAAAUUGUAACUCUAGACAUAGAGGAGAUGUAUAGGAAAGCUCACACUGCUAUACUCAUCUAUGAGAAGAAGCCUAAGAAAGAAAUUAAAGACAAGAGGAAAAUGUCUCUAGCUCGGAAGAAAGAUCAAGUAGCUUAAAAAAAGGCAAGUGUCCUCAUAGCUCAGUAGUGGGCUGUUGAGACA